ensembl:lncRNA LINC02645 long intergenic non-protein coding RNA 2645
GGCGAGGGAGGAAACCGCGCUUUGUUCUUGAGGUGAGCCGGGUGCGCGACCAUGAGGAAGGAUGGCGAGGGAGGAAACCGCGCUUUGUUGGUGAGGUGAAACGGGUGCACGAUCCCGAGGAAGUAUUGCCAGGGAGGAAACCGCGCUUUGCUGGUGAGGUGUUCACGGAUAAUGAAGCUGAUGUGAGAGCCCUGGAGAGAAACAUCAGUCAAAGGGAAUCCCAUCCAGCGUCCCUCUACUCUCCUCUGCAGCUUCCAUGGUUGGAAUGCUGAGCCAUUGCUAGGACGAUGAGGCUACAGGAAAGUGAAAUGCACCUGCUGCGAUCUGAUCCAACUGACCACUCCUGCUGCUCCUCCCUUGCACCUCAGGCAUCUCCUUCCAAUCUGGAGGAAACACUUUUACCUCCACUUUUCUUUUACAGUCCUCCAAACUCUGUUCCUUCUAGGGAGCACAAGUACAGAAAUAGAAACCUGGACUCCCAUCAUCCUGCUUCACAAACUUACAAUGUUAAAGAAAGAAAAAAAAAAAGACCAAGUACAUUACCUGGUAGAAUUGGAGAGAUGGGCACGAAAGAGCUGUAAAUACAGUUAGAAAACACACUAGCAUUUACAAAUGUGUAUGAGAAACAAUGAGGAGGAUUUUCAGAGACUAUCAUAACCAUUUAUUUUUCUAAUAUGUGAUAAGUAAACGCACAGAAAAUCAAUUUAAUAUUUGGGGCUUUUAUUUCUCAUUUUUUAGAUUGCCAGAAAGACUGUCCAGUGUUAUAAAGUUUGUGUCAAUAUUCUGGAAUUGGCAAUUUUGUCAUUUAUAUGGGAGAAAUAGCUAAAGGUGUAGUAUAAAGUAUUUGCUCGUAGGUAAUGGAAUGUUACCUUUACCCAAAGAUAUAAAAAAUAAACGGUAGAACAAAAACUC